GAUGAACGCUGGCGGCGUGCCUAACACAUGCAAGUCGAGCGAGAAGCUCGUAAGCUGAUCUUCGGAAAGGCGAGCGAGCGGAAAGCGGCGGACGGGUGAGUAACGCGUAGGCAACCUGCCCCAUACAGAGGGAUACCUUCGGGAAACCGGAAUUAAAACCUCAUAAUGCCAUUUGAUCACAUGGUCGGAUGGCCAAAGAUUCAUCGGUAUGGGAUGGGCCUGCGUCUGAUUAGCUAGGUGGUGAGGUAACGGCUCACCAAGGCGACGAUCAGUAGCAGAACUGAGAGGUUCAUCUGCCACAUUGGAACUGAAGCACGGUCCAAACUCCUACGGGAGGCAGCAGUGAGGAAUAUUGCACAAUGGGCGAAAGCCUGAUGCAGCAACGCCGCGUGAGUGAUGAAGGCCUUUGGGUCGUAAAACUCUGUCCUUGGGGAAGAAAAAAAUGACGGUACCCUUGGAGGAAGCCCCGGCUAACUACGUGCCAGCAGCCGUGUAAAAC
rnacentral:rRNA from 1 species